UACGAAGGGGGCUAGCGUUGUUCGGAAUUACUGGGCGUAAAGCGCGCGCAGGCGGCUAUCCAAGUCAGUGGUGAAAGCCCGGAGCUCAACUCCGGAACUGCCAUUGAAACUGUUUAGCUUGAGGAUGAGAGAGGUGAGUGGAAUUCCCAGUGUAGAGGUGAAAUUCGUAGAUAUUGGGGAAGAACACCGGUGGCGAAGGCGGCUCACUGGCUCAUUACUGACGCUCAGGCGCGAUAGCGUGGGGAUCAAACAGG
rnacentral:rRNA from 1 species